GACGAACGCUGGCGGCGUGCUUAACACAUGCAAGUCGAACGGAAAGGCCCUGCUUUUGUGGGGUGCUCGAGUGGCGAACGGGUGAGUAACACGUGAGUAACCUGCCCUUGACUUUGGGAUAACUUCAGGAAACUGGGGCUAAUACCGGAUAGGAGCUCCUGCUGCAUGGUGGGGGUUGGAAAGUUUCGGCGGUUGGGGAUGGACUCGCGGCUUAUCAGCUUGUUGGGGGGGUAGUGGCUUACCAAGGCUUUGACGGGUAGCCGGCCUGAGAGGGUGACCGGCCACAUUGGGACUGAGCUACGGCCCAGACUCCUACGGGAGGCAGCAGUAGGGAAUAUUGCACAAUGGGCGGAAGCCUGAUGCAGCAACGCCGCGUGCGGGAUGACGGCCUUCGGGUUGUAAACCGCUUUCGCCUGUGACGAAGCGUGAGUGACGGUAAUGGGUAAAGAAGCACCGGCUAACUACGUG
rnacentral:rRNA from 1 species